CUGAGUUCAAUCGUAUCAUUACCGGUGUACUACAGUGUAAGUGUUCGCGCCAAAAAAAGAUGAAAAGUGUUUAGAAGUUGUAAAACCAGCAACGAGCUGCGCGAAAUUGCUGUUUAUUCGGAAAGUGGACGGGGAACAUGGACCACAAAUUGAAUGCAAAUACCUUGGUGAAAAUUCGGCGAAGAAGCUGGCGAUAGCUGGAUGGAGCAGAUUAAAAGCAAAUACAUAUGUAGGUUGAACAGGAGGAAGAGUUUGAAAACGACGUCGACCGAGACCAUGCUCAACGUCAGCCAGGAUUAAACUUAGUUUCGAAGCGCAAAACGCAUUUUCCAUAAGCAUAAGGGAACCCAUACCAUCCUGCCGCUGAAUCGGGCUGUCGCUCUUUAAGUAGAAAGUUGGCACAUAGAGGAUGGAGACGAGAAGCAGGAGCCAAGUGCUCCUCGGCGUAGCGCGCUUGAGAAAGUAAAUACGUGUCCACUUUUUUCUCUUUUUUAUUUCAGCCUUCAGCGGCUCUGGAAAUACAUACAUCCGGAGUCCCAGGAACACGGGAGUCGCUCGUCUUUUCUCUCCACGUUUCGGAGAUCGACGUCGAACGAUUCCGAACGAAAUCGUUAGAAAAUUUGAAGAAUCGUCGGGGUCUGGGGUGAAGGUAAUCAGCGAGAGGAAACUUACGAUCUUUUUCCUUUGUUACAACAAACAGAGUGAAAAUUUCUCGAAUGGUAGGAAAAACUCCCUCGCAGAUACGCGUGAUGCGAAAAAGAAUUCAUCAAGAUUCAAAGAGAUUUCUUUCUGAAACGAGACCGCUUUCGCGAGUUGAGAAGCGUCGAAACAUUCCCAAAAGGUUUUGCAGCACGGCACGAUGCGGUGCGGCGGAAACACGCGCGACCGGAAAUUAGCUGAAAUGGAAGCGCGACCAACCCCCCGAGGCGCUCUUCUCAGCGUUGCGGAAUAAACAAAGCGCGAAAAUACCCUUUCAUCCCCCGUGACUGUUCGAUAUUAUCCCUUCGAGAGGAUAAAGUUCCUCCUCGCUCGAGUCCAAUUCGCUCGAAGAAACGCGGAGAGGAAUGCGAGUGGAGUGUCGAUUCGAAAGUUUCCUCGGAGAAACUUGCUACUCGUCGUGAUAAUCGUCGCGCAAGGAGCAAUAUCGAACGAGUAUUAUCGCAAAGAGAAAGAAAUAUUCGUACGAAGAGACAUUGUCGGUCCAAUAUCAGCACCGACUAUUACGCAGAGAAAAUAAAAGGAAGAAGCUGUCGGUCGGUGAAAGGCACGUUGCUUCGUAAACUUUGAACAGCUUUGGGGACCUUAGAGAUCCGAAUGUCUCGCGUGCGAUUCGCAACAAAGAAAAGAAACGACCAUCAUUUAUUUUGUCCGACAGAAUGGCCACGGACGUCGAUGCCUCGGCCAAGGAGAACGUUAAUGGAAACACCCGGUAUAUCGAAUUACCCGAGUCGCCUGGUACAUCGGUUAUUUAAUCCAAAGUGUGGAAAGCGGACGUGAAGAACGGGACGAAGAUGAAGGAAAGAUGAGAAGACGAGGGAAUGACGAACAGAAAUUUUCGAGACAUGCAUGAAAUUCAUCAACUAUGGUACGACGUUGACGAGGAAUGCACGAAAUGAAAAAUCUAGCUAGGAUGGAAUGCUUUAAGAUUCCGGAGGAAUUUCUCGUACGCGCUUUUCUCGUUCUUAAUUGAUGGGGUAUCGUUUAAGUUUUCCGAUAAUUCGAGGAGGUUACCUGUUCCGUAAAAUAUUCGACAGUCGUCUGGUUGCUUCAGUAUCUUGUCGAGAACCUCGGCAUCGACCACUUGACCCGGUGAAACGCAAC